rnacentral:rRNA from 1 species
UACGUAGGGUGCGAGCGUUGUCCGGAAUUACUGGGCGUAAAGAGCUCGUAGGCGGUUUGUCGCGUCGUCCGUGAAAACUUGGGGCUCAACCCCAAGCUUGCGGGCGAUACGGGCAGACUUGAGUACUGCAGGGGAGACUGGAAUUCCUGGUGUAGCGGUGAAAUGCGCAGAUAUCAGGAGGAACACCGGUGGCGAAGGCGGGUCUCUGGGCAACAACUGACGCUGAGGAGCGAAAGCGUGGGGAGCGAACAGG